rnacentral:rRNA from 1 species
AACGUAGGAGACAAACGUUAUCCGGAGUUACUGGGCGUAAAGGGCGUGUAGGUGGUUUCGUAAGUCUGGCGUGAAAUUUUUCGGCUUAACCGGGAAAGGUCGUCGGAUACUGCAGAACUAGAGGACGGUAGAGGCGUGUGGAAUUCCGGGUGUAGUGGUGGAAUGCGUAGAGAUCCGGAGGAACACCAGUGGCGAAGGCGACACGCUGGGCCGUACCUGACACUGAUGCGCGACAGCAUGGGGAGCAAACAGG